GGGCCGGCGCUGCUCGCUUUGCUCUUUCCGAGGCUCUCGUUUGCUCACCGCCGACCCGGCUCGGACGGACCUCUUCCAUUCUCGCUCAGAGCAUGUGCACCUGCCAUUGUGAUGCCAUCUGCCAGGAUGUCCUCACCAGAGCCAAACCAGUGCUGACACCGUGCUCUUGAACCUCCGAAACGGGAAGGUGACGGAGGCUCAUAUUGGCAGCAGAGUGAACUAAAGUUCAUCUCCUCAAAAACCAGCAGCAGGGGCUGGUACCAUGGUUAAAGCACCAGCCUGUGGGUGCCGGUUCGAGUCCCCAUUCCUCCACUUCCGAUGCAGCUCCCUGCUAAUGUGUCUUGGAAAACAUUGGAAGACGGCCCAGGAAGAAGCUUCGGAUCAGCUCAGCUCAGCUCUGGCCUUUGUCUCUUGUCUCUACCUCUCUCUUUCAAAUAAAAUAAAAUAAAUCUUCAGCAGCCCAAUCGGGAGCC